rnacentral:rRNA from 1 species
AUCCGCAUCCGCGUGUGUGAAGAAGGCCUGAGGGUUGUAAAGCACUUUCAAUUGUGAAGAAAAGUCAACGGUUAAUAACCGUUGACCUUGACGUUAACUUUAGAAGAAGCACCGGCUAACUCCGUGCCAGCAGCCGCGGUAAUACGGAGGGUGCAAGCGUUAAUCGGAAUUACUGGGCGUAAAGCGUGCGUAGGCGGUUUAUUAAGUCAGAUGUGAAAGCCCCGGGCUUAACCUGGGAACUGCAUUUGAAACUGGUCAACUAGAGUAUGGUAGAGGAAAGUGGAAUUUCUGGUGUAGCGGUGAAAUGCGUAGAUAUCAGAAGGAACAUCAAUGGCGAAGGCAGCUUUCUGGACCAAUACUGACGCUGAGGUACGAAAGCGUGGGUAGCAAACAGGAUUAGAUACCCUGGUAGUCCACGCCGUAAACGAUGAUAACUAGCCGUUGGGGGGAUUUACCCUUUAGUGGCGAAGCUAACGCGUUAAGUUAUCCGCCUGGGGAGUACGGCCGCAAGGCUAAAACUCAAAGGAAUUGACGGGGACCCGCACAAGCGGUGGAGCAUGUGGUUUAAUCCGAUGCAACGCGAAGAACCCUACCUGGUCUUGACAUCCUGCGAACUUUCUAGAAAUAGAUUGGUGCCUUCGGGAACGCAGUGACAGGUGCUGCAUGGCUGUCGUCAGCUCGUGUCGUGGGAUGUUGGGUUAAGUCCCGUAACGAGCGCAACCCCUAUCCUUAUUUGCCAGCACAUUAUGGUGGGAACUAUAAGGAGACUGCCGGUGAUA